GAUGAACGCUGGCGGCGUGCCUAAUACAUGCAAGUCGAGCGAACGGACGAGAAGCUUGCUUCUCUGAUGUUAGCGGCGGACGGGUGAGUAACACGUGGAUAACCUACCUAUAAGACUGGGAUAACUUCGGGAAACCGUAGCUAAUACCGGAUAAUAUUUUGAACCGCAUGGUUCAAAAGUGAAAGACGGUCUUGCUGUCACUUAUAGAUGGAUCCGCGCUGCAUUAGCUAGUUGGUAAGGUAACGGCUUACCAAGGCAACGAUGCAUAGCCGACCUGAGAGGGGGAUCGGCCACACUGGAACUGGGACACGGUCCAGACUCCUACGGGAGGCAGCAGGAGGGAAUCUUCCGAAAUGGGCGAAAGCCUGACGGAGCAACGCCGCGGGAGUGAUGAAGGUCUUCGGAUCGUAAAACUCUUUUAUUAGGGAAGAACAUAUGUGUAAGUAACUGUGCACAUCUUGACGGUACCUAAUCAAAAAGCCCCGGCUAACUACGU
rnacentral:rRNA from 1 species